AGUUGUUCGCUCGUCAGCUGUGUCUGACCUGCCCACUGAAGUUUUAAAUGGCCGCAGUAUAUUAACUGUGCAAAGGUAGCAUAAUCAUUAGUCUUUUAAUUGGAGGCUGGUAUGAAUGGUUGGACGAAAUAUAUACUGUUUCAAUUAAAUUUAAAAUAGAAUUUUAUUUUUUAGUUAAAAAGCUAAAAUAUAAUUAAAAGACGAGAAGACCCUAUAAAUCUUUAUAUUUGAAUUAUUUUAAUUAUAAAGAUUAAUUUAUUUAUAAUAAUUUAAAAUAUUUUAUUGGGGUGAUAUUAAAAUUUAAUGAACUUUUAAUUAAUUAAAUCAUUGAUGUAUGAAUAAUUGAUCCAAUUAUAUUGAUUAAAAAUUUAAGUUACUUUAGGGAUAACAGCGUAAUUUUUUUGGAGAGUUCAUAUCGAUAAAAAAGAUUGCGACCUCGAUGUUGGAUUAAGAGAUAAAUUUGGGUGUAGCCGUUCAAAUGUUAAGUCUGUUCGACUUUUAAAUUCUUACGUGAUCUGAGUUCAGACCGGA
rnacentral:rRNA from 1 species